GGCUAAGAGCAACAGAGUUAUAUGGAGCUACCGGAACGUUUGUUCCGUAAACAAACGGAGACCAAACAUCAACCUCUUUGUGUCCCUGAUACGACGGAGGUAUGGCGGUUCUGUAAGUAAUUUGUUGGCUCCGGUAUGUGACGUAAGAAUCAAGACGAUCGUAGUAGAUACCGAUUUUAUUGUUGGGAUUAUUAGUGUAUUAAUAAUAACUGCUUGUAACUAAUUUGGUUAAGUUUGUUUUAAUUUUUCCUAUUACUUAGAGAGUUAACUUGUAUAGCAAGCAAGUAACCAUUUUGCCUAUAAAAGGCUUUGUAAUUGUGAACUUCAUAACUAAUGAGCAUUAUUCACAUUACACAAUAAUUCUCUCCAUUAUUCUCUCUUCUCAUAACAACUUUCUGUUAUAAUCAUCUUGCUUAGAAACAAUUUAUCUUAAUAAGCACUUUUGCUGCGCAUGAACAAAGUGAUUGUUCUAACAAUUGGUAUAGAGAGUCUGGAUUAAAUAUUAGGGAAACACAAGUGAAAAGUGAGGGGAAUCAUCAUUGGAAAUCACAGAGUGAGGUCUGUGUAUUGAUUUCUCUGUUUUCUUGAGAAUUAAGCAAGAUGAACACAAACGGUUUUGGCUCAAACAUCUUAGUUCUUGAUGGCAAGAAUUGGGAACGAUGGAGUGCUUUGAUGAAAUCAUUGUUUGGCACGCAAGAUGUGAGUGAAGUUGUGCAGAAUGAUUUUGAAGAACCUUCUGCAAAUUCCACUAAUGUGCAGAGAGCAGUUUAGAAAGAAAACAAGAAGAAAAACUGUAAAGCUCUGUUCUAUAUUCAACAAAAUGUUGAUAAUCAACAUUUUGAGAAGAUUUCAAAAGCAACUAGAUCUAAAGAAGCAUGGGAUAUUUUGGAGAAUUAUCAUAAUGGGGGAGAAAAGGUGAAACAAGUCAAGCUGCAAUCAUAUAGAAGGAAGUAUGAAAUGAUGCAAAUGGAAGAAGAUCAGAAGGUAAGUGAUUACUUCUCAAAGAUGAUUGAAAUUGUGAAUUUGAUGAAGAAUUGUGGUGAAAACAUUUCUGAUCAGAUGAUAGUUGAGAAAGUCUUGAGAUCUUUAAGUCAAAAGUUUGAUUUCAUAGUGGUAGAAAUCCAAGAAGUAAAGGAUGUGAAGAUUAUGAUGGUUGAAGAAUUGCGGGGUUCUCUUGAAGCACAUGAACUGUUGGUGAUUGAUAGAAGUUCAGAAAGAUCAGUUCAACAAGCUCUUCAGGUUCAAACAACCAAGAAAGAGGGAGAUUUUAAGAAUUUCAAAAAGGGAAGAGGUAAAACAAAUUGGUCCUCUAAUGCAAAAUCCAAACCUGAGAACAAAAUUGAAUCUUCUAAAAGAGGAAGUUUUGGAAAAAAAAUCAGAACAAAAAGAGGGAUUUUGACAAGAGUAAAGUUCAGUGUUAUAAUUGUGAAAAAUUUGGCCCUUUUGCUGAUGAAUGUUGGUUCAAGAAAGAUUAGAAGACUGAAGAAGCCAAUAUUGCUCAUGAAGGUGACCCUGAUGCAGUGUUGUUAAUGGCUGCUGCAUGUGAAGAUAGGAUGAAAAGUGAAGAAUGGUAUCUUGAUACUGGGUGUUAUAAUCAUAUGACAGCUCAUAGAGAGUGGUUAACAAAUUUUGAUGCUAGUAAGAAAACAAGUAUCAAGUUGGCUGACAAUAGGAAACUUGCAUCAGAAGGCAGUGAUAAUAUAGUGAUGAGGAGCAAUUUUGGUGGUAAAGUGACAAUUGAAGAUGUGUUCUAUGUUCUAAAUAUGAAUGUAAUCUGAUGAGCAUAGGUCAAUUAGUGGAGAAAGGAUUCUCAGUUUCAAUGGAAGGUGAUUCAUUGAAACUAUUUGAUCAAAAGAAGAAUCUGGUGUUGAAAUCUACUUUGUCAAAAAAUAGAACCUAUAGAUGCAACAUAUCAAGUGAUAAAAUGUUGUGUAUGUCUGCAACUAUCAGUGAAGAUGUUAAAGCAUUGUGGCAUUCAUAUAUUUGUGGGUCUUUUGAAGUACCUUCUCUUGGUGGCAGUAAGUAUUUCAUUAGCUUUAUUGAUGAAUUCACAAGAAUGAUUUGACUGUAUACUAUUAAGCUUAAAAGUGAAGCUUUAGAAAUAUUCAAAAGAUUCAAAAUCUCAGUAGAAAAGGAAAGUGAUAAAUCUAUUAAGAUUUUGAGGACAGACGGUGGAGGUGAGUAUACAUCAAAGGAAUUUGAAGCUUUCUGCACAAGUCAAGGAGUUGUUCAUGAAGUAAUUGCUCCAUAUACACCUCAACAUAAUGGACUUGCAGAAAGAAGAAACAGGACCCUGCUAAACAUGACAAGGAGCAUGCUUAACCANAACACAACCCCACAAAACCAACUUGUGAGGUGAGGAUUGCCCCCACUUAUAAACACGUUGUCAUGUCAUCUUUCAUUCCGAUGUGAGACUCUUAACAAGAAUAAUCUCUCAAAUCGUUGAUAUCACACUAGAUGAUAAAGUUAAUUUAACAAUGCAUCUAAGAACUGGAUUCAAACUCAAAAUCACAAGAGAUGUAAAUUUACCUCUUUUCUAUAUUUGAUUAUAGAAUAUAUAAUAGUUGAACAUAAAUAAUUAGGUGCAUCUAUUAUACAUAAGCAAAACCCUUUCUUUAGGCACGGUAGGUGAGGGCGUGAAAAGGACCACCACCACCACUCUACCAUGUGGAAUGAAUAUAAAUAAAUCCUUCAAUCAUUGACCUUAAUUUCUAAGUGCGUAUGUUAAUUAGUUUCCUUUAGGGAAAUCAUCUUUUAACAACAAAAAGAAAAUAUUUACAAAUUUAGAUACUAACCCUUCUGCGGAAGAACCAAUUCAGUCCAUUUCAAUGACACACUAAAAUGUAUAAUUGGUAUAGUUUCAUUUUUAAAAAUGAGAAAGAAGUGGUCAAACAAUAUAGACAUUCAACUUUCUAUUAAAAAAGAAAGACCUUCAAUUUGAAAAUUAAUUAUAUACUACACUCUUCAUUAUUGAUCCAAUAAUAUACUACAGGUGGCCAAGAAUAUAGACAAGGAUAUACACAUGCAUAAGUAAGCAUAACCAAUAAAAAGUAACCAAAAGUAAAUAAUAAACGAAUCAUCCAUUAUAUUCAUGAAUAUUCUUAAGUAAAGAAUAAAGCAAAACAACACAUCUUCUAUCCAAAUUGACACAAAAAAUUAUUUUAUUAAUGUAUUGAUUCACCUCAAAUGACAGUGUUACAAACUUACAGUACAUAUUACAAUUUUUUUCUACACAUCUCUAUCUCCUCCAUCAAUUUUUCACAUAUAGCUCCAAGUGAAUUUUUAUUCUAUAACAAUAAAUUAUAUGUAAUAAUAACAACAACAAAAUGUACAAUUCAAAUACCGUGGUAGAAAAUAAGAAUACGUGUAAAAUGAAACAUUAUUACUAAACAGAGUAAUAUACCAGAAGCAGAGAAGAAUAGAGGAAGGAGUGAAACACAAUAUACUCAACAUCGUUGACUAUCAAACACUGACAGUGCACCGUUGAACAAUCUGAUACUUAACAGCGCCGCUAUCACCGACGCUAAUACCGUUACUUCUUGGACCAAACGUGAUAAAAGCAGGACAACGAACAAAAAUAUGGUAAUGACCAGAAAUAAAAGCACCAACCUUCCACCUAACCCUACCAUCAAAUUUAACGACAACAAGAACGUUACCGUUAUCCUGGUCUUGGCUAAGAGCAACAGAGUUAUAUGGAGCUACCGGAACGUUUGUUCCGUAAACAAACGGAGACCAAACAUCAACCUCUUUGUGUCCCUGAUACGACGGAGGUAUGGCGGUUCUGUAAGUAAUUUGUUGGCUCCGGUAUGUGACGUAAGAAUCAAGACGAUCGUAGUAGAUACCGAUUUUAUUGUUGGGAUUAUUAGUGUAUUAAUAAUAACUGCUUGUAACUAAUUUGGUUAAGUUUGUUUUAAUUUUUCCUAUUAGUUAGAGAGUUAACUUGCAUAGCAAGCAAGUAACCAUUUUGCCUAUAAAAGGCUUUGUAAUUGUGAACUUCAUAACUAAUGAGCAUUAUUCACAUUACACAAUAAUUCUUUCCAUUAUUCUCUCUUCUCAUAACAACUUUCUGUUAUAAUCAUCUUGCUUAGAAACAGCUUAUCAUAAUAAGCACUUUUGCUGCGCAUGAACAAAGUGACUGUUCUAACAGGGAUUACGUGAAGAAACUGUGACUUGGAAAUUUGAG
rnacentral:lncRNA from 1 species